rnacentral:misc_RNA from 1 species
UGACACCGGCAUCGCGAAAGCUGUUCGGAGCUUCGCCAAAUCAUUGGAACGAUUGCGUUUGCGAUUGUGGAUGACGCCCACAAUCACGUGUGAUUUUACCCGGUUUCCUUGACCCUGGAGCCAAGCGCGGGCUAAUCGCCGAUCUAUGGCCGUGCGCGCAUUCAUUACCGGCGUUUCCGGGACCGCUCUGACCGACGAUGAGCGCGC